rfam:Cylindrobasidium torrendii FP15055 ss-10 unplaced genomic scaffold CYLTOscaffold_98, whole genome shotgun sequence.
GGCCUGAUGGUCUAGUAGCAUGAUUCCUGCUUUGGGCGCAUCCCGAAAGGGAAGUGGCACUUGCAGGAGGUCACGGGUUCAAUUCCCGUUCAGGCCC